rnacentral:rRNA from 1 species
GAACCGUCCAAACGUUUAUUCGGAAUCACUGGGCUUAAAGGGUGCGUAGGCGGCCUGGCAAGUUGGGUGUGAAAUCCCUCGGCUCAACCGAGGAACUGCGCCCAAAACUGCUAGGCUUGAGGGAGAUAGAGGUGAGCGGAACUUAGGGUGGAGCGGUGAAAUGCGUUGAUAUCCUAAGGAACACCAGUGGCGAAGGCGGCUCACUGGAUCUCUUCUGACGCUGAGGCACGAAAGCCAGGGUAGCGAACGGGGAUUAGAUACCCCGGUAGUCCUGGCUGUAAACGAUGAGCACUGGGUUGGAGGCUCCCUCCAUAGGCUUCCCGGCCGAAGCGAAAGUGUUAAGUGCUCCGCCUGGGGAGUAUGUCGCAAGGCUG